CCUCAUCCACCUGCUGCGGCGAAAUGAAAUGAAUAUGCGAGUCGAUACCGCCCGCCGUGACGAUCUUGCCCUCGCCAGCAAUGAUUUCCGUGCCCGGGCCGAUGAUGAUGGUGACGCCCGGUUGCGUAUCGGGAUUGCCCGCCUUGCCGAUGCCCGCAAUGCGCCCGUCACGCAGACCGAUAUCGGCCUUGUAGAUGCCGGUGUGAUCCAGAAUGAGCGCAUUGGUGAUGACCGUGUCGACGGAACCUUGCGCCCGCGAAAGCUGGCUUUGGCCCAUGCCGUCGCGG
rfam:Ochrobactrum sp. P6BS-III NODE_5_length_339013_cov_34.3175, whole genome shotgun sequence.